rnacentral:rRNA from 1 species
UGGUCGCCGCACAAGGGCGUACGGUGGAUGCCUUGGUACAAUAUGGCGAUGAAGGACGUCGCAGCCUGCGAAAAGCUCCGGGGAGGUGGCAAGCAACCUUUGAUCCGGAGAUAUCCGAAUGGGGAAACCCUCUACACGGAAUGGUGUAGAACGCUAUCCUGAAUACAUAGGGGUAGUGAGCGAACCUGGGGAAUUGAAACAUCUUAGUACCCAGAGGAAGAGAAAAAAAUGCUGCAGUUAUUUGAACAGUGCAUCAGCAAUGGUGCGCGGUUCAUAUUCCUGUGGUUAUUCCCUGAGUAGUGGCGAGCGAAACGGGAACAGCUAAAAUUUUCGUAGUGUACCCAGCCGCAAGGUUGGGAGAGACGCGUAAGCGGCUGCUACGGAGACGUUGCGAGAUGAUGUUAUCAGAGCUUACGACUCUGAGGUAGGGACCACGCGGAGUGGUUCUCGGUGUGCCUGCGCAAGCGGGUACAGUGAGAAUUAUUUCGUUGCGCGUAGUCGAACCGCCUGGAACGGCGGGCCAAAGACGGUGAUAGCCCGGUAGGCGAAACGCGCGAAGCUCUACGACAUUUUUCUCGAGUACCGUGGGACACGUGAAAUCCUAUGGGAACCCGGGACGACUACCGUCCCAAAGCUAAAUACAUAUUGUGACCGAUAGUGAACAAGUACCGUGAGGGAAAGGUGAAAAGUACCCCGGAAGGGGGAUGAAAUAGUCUCUGAAACCGUAUGCUUACAAACAGUCGUAGCCCCGCCUCGGCGGGGUCACGGCGUGCCUAUUGAAGAAUGAACCAACGAGUUUGUUCAGCGGAGUGGGCUAAGGCCGAGAAGGCCGGAGCCAUAGUGAAAGCGAGCGUGUCAAAAGCGCGUACUAUAGUUUGAAAUGUAUUCCGCCGCAAGGCGGACUGCAUCUCUUUCUAUAAACAUUCCGUUGACAAGACCCGAAGCCGGGUGAUCUACCCAUGACCAGGUUGAAUCCCGCCGAAAGGCGGGAGGAGGACCGAACCCGUGAGCUGUGCAAAACUCUGGGAUGAGUUGUGGGUAGCGGAGAAAUUCCAAUCGAACUCGGCGAUAGCUGGUUCUCCUCGAAAUAGCUUUAGGGCUAGCGUGGCGUGUUUCCCUGCGGGGGUAGAGCGACUGAAUGGACGUUGAUGGCGAAAGCCUACAACGACCAACCAAACUCCGAAUACCGCAGGAUCUAACGCUGCAGUCAGUCCGUGAGGUCCAAGCUUCACUGGACGAGAGGGGAAGAACCCAUGACCUCCAUCUAAGGUCCCGAAGUGGCCGCUCAGUGGUAAAGGUGGUGGGGCGAUUGAGACAACGAGGAGGUUGGCUUAGAAGCAGCCAUCCUUUAAAGAAAGCGUAAUAGCUCACUCGUCAAAUUGCCCUGCGCCGAAAAUGUAUCGGGGCUCAAGCGGCCCACCGAAGUUGAGGAUGCCUCGUCGCAAGACGGGGCGUGGUAGAGGAGCGUUCCCAGCAGCGACGAAGCGAGCGUGGAAACUCUCGUGGAGCGCUGGGAAGUGCGAAUGUUGGUAUAAGUAACAGAAAUGCGGGUGAGAACCCCGCACACCGAAAGUCUAAGGUUUCCUGGGCAACGAAAAUCGUCCCAGGGUGAGUCGGUCCUAAGUCGAGGCCGAAAGGCGUAGAUGAUGGAGAGCAGGUUAAUAUUCCUGCACCACGUGAUGAUUAUCCUGACGAGGACACAUUUGUGAAUUACGCACGGGAUUCGGUUAUGCCCGUCCCGCAAGGGGCAGUGGAAGCCGCAAGGUAACCGCAACGCGUAUGCAGCAGGUGUCGAGAAAAGUCGUCAGGUUACGUCGUACCGUGUCCGUACCGGAAACCGACACAGGUGGACUAGUGUCAACGCACUAAGGUGAACGAGAGAACCCUGGUUUAGGAACUCGGCAAAAAAGCGGCCGUACCUUCGGUAUAUGGCCUGCCCCGCCUCUGGCGGGGCUGCAACUAAUGAUAUCAAGUGACUGUUUACCAAAAACACAGGUCCCUGCAAAGCCGAAAGGCAACGUAUAGGGGCUGAUGCCUGGCCAGUGUCAGAACGUUAAGGGGAGAGGUGCAAGCCUUGAUCCGAAGCGCUGACGAACGCCGGCGAUAACUAUAAUCGUUAACGACGCUACCGCCACUCAUGAAAUGGGUGGCAAAAAAGUCAGGGCGAUUGUAAAAUUCGACUAUAUGCUGGAAUAGCUGUCCCCUCACAGGGGUGAAGUAUCGUGUGCUACCGAGUAGGUAACAAUGCACACGUGCAGCCAAUCAGCAGGAAAGACUCCCUAGAAUAUGCCAAAUACCGUGAAAGCAAUCCUGACUUCCUUUCGGGGAAAACGGGAGUUGCUCCACUACUAUAUUGCGGGACUCGUGGAUGGUGAAGGCAGUUUCAGUGUGGCGGUUAUCCGCCAUCCUUCUCAAACAUUUGGCUGGAUGAUUAAUCCAUGCUUCCAAGUGUACCAACACGAAGCACACCGUGAAAUUCUUGAACUUUGCCAGUGGGUAUUUAAAACCGGCAGCAUCUACCGCAAGUCUGGGACUAACCAUGUUCUGAACUUCAGUAUUGAUGCUCGCCGCAAUCUCUUGGAGAAGGUUAUCCCCUUCUUCGACCGGUACCCGCUCAUCGUAAAGCGCGAUGCCUAUAAAUCGUUCCGCACGAUUACGAAAGCCAUGGAACAAGGCGAGCAUCAAACCCGCGAGGGUUUCUGCCGCUUGGUAACGCUGGCUUUCACGAUGAACCAGCAAGGCAAAGGGCGAAAGCAUACCCUCGAGUACAUCCUCGAGUCGGUAAAAAGUGCUCAUGGAGAAUCCUCAGAGACUUUACGUCGAACCCCGCAGGGGCGGGGAUGAUAAAGUCCACGACCGUAGCGAUACGGGUUAGAAAAAGCCUAAGGUAGCGAAAUUCCUUGUCGGGUAAGUUCCGACCUGCACGAAUGGCAUAACAACUUGAUAACUGUCUCAACCAGGGACUCGGUGAAAUUACAAGACGAGUAAAGAUGCUCGUUACCCGCAAUUAGACGAAAAGACCCCAUGAAGCUUUACUGUAGUUUGGCAUUGUUGACGGGUGUGUGCUGCUGAGAAUACGUGGGAGACUUUGAAGUUCUACCUCUGGGUAGGAUGGAGUCACCAGUGAAAUACCACGCUGUGCUCGCACGUCAUCUAACGGCAUCCCGUUAUCCGGGAUCCGGACAGUGCCUGAUGGGCAGUUUAACUGGGGCGGUUGCCUCCUAAACGGUAACGGAGGCGUUUACAAAGGUUGGCUACGCACGAAUGGAAACCGUGCGCGUCGGGCAAACCCACAAGCCAGCUUGACUGCAAGACCUACAAGUCGCGCAGCACCGAAAGGUGAAGUUAGUGAUCCGACGAUCCAUUGUAGGAUGGUCGAAGCUCAACGGAUAAAAGUUACUCUGGGGAUAACAGGCUGAUCGGGUCCAAGAGUCCACAUCGACGACCCGGUUUGGCACCUCGAUGUCGGCUCAUCGCAUCCUGGGGCUGGAGAAGGUCCCAAGGGUUUGGCUGUUCGCCAAUUAAAGCGGUACGUGAGCUGGGUUCAGAACGUCGUGAGACAGUUCGGUCUCCUAUCUAUUGCGGGCGCAGAUAUUUGCGAAGACUCUUCCCUAGUACGAGAGGACCGGGAAGGACGAACCUCUGGUGGAUGGGUUGUUGUACCAACAGCAUUGCCCAGUAGCUACGUUCGGUACGGAUAAACGCUGAAAGCAUAUAAGCGUGAAGCCGCCUUCUAGAUUAGAUAUCGUUAUGAGCUCCCCGGGAGACUACCGGGUUGAUAGGCUCUACGUGUAAGACCCGUAAGGGUUUGAGCGGAGGAGUACUAAUCGAGCCAGCGGCAACCAUG